GGUGACGAUACUGUUCUGGUCAGUCUAAGUUUUGUUUUCUUCGGCAUUGCACGUACUCUCUGUAUCUAGUAUUAUUUUAUAACAAAUGUGUGAUAGUGCUAUUUUAGUGUCUAAAAAAGUCAUAGAAGCAAGAAGACUCUCAGAUCACUGACUUCACUCUGCGAAGCUUUAAGGCCCGACGCACGCGGUACAAAGUUGCAUGUAAUUUAUGACCAGUUUAUGGACUAUGGGCCAAGUUCGCACAUGCAUCGCCGUGAGCAGACCCGACUUGUAUAGAAGUCAUAAAUAUCCGCUAACCCUUCAGAAGGGUCAGGUACUAUUCUUGUGAAGAGCGAUGUUCGAAAUUCAAGAAUGAAUCGCCAAUUGUUUUCGAGUGUUCGGAAAGAAUCGAAAUCACCCAUCUUUUGUUAUACAUUCAACCGACUGCUCGUGUCUAAUUCCAUUGCACCCCUAUCUUCCGUCGCAGUCACUCGUUAAACUCGGUUGUAUUUCCGACUCGUUCACUCUUAGUAGUAAAACAUGGCGGAUGCUGUGUACCCCGUGGAGUGGGGUUACAGGAUUUCCGGAGGGUGAGAUAAGGGUGGUGAGCUUCGAGAGUGAAAUGGAUCGCAUUUUAGGACAAAAAAGGAAGCGAUCGAUUGUAAUAAAUAGUUAAACUUUUAUAUCGUAUGACCAUAGUUGAAAUAAAUAACAGUUGCUUUGACUAAAAUGCAUAAUACAUAUCUUCAGAAAAACUGUAAUAAAAAACUUAUUAAUAUUAUGAUGACAACUUUAAUAUCUCUAUUCUAUGUGAUGAUGUUCAACUUAUGUCCUAAUAUCAGGUGUCUGUUAUAAUCUUAACUAAAAACAAAUAAAUAUUUUUACUCGCUGCAUUGUAAGAACGUACCGUAUUAAUGACAUCCGAAUAACGUAUGGGUAUAUCCUAAGAUUGAAAAUUUAUGUCGACUUCUAAAUUUAUUCACGCAGCUACUUACAAAUGAAACUAAUAAAAGUGUGUAAUCUAUUUGCAAAUGUAUUAUAAAGCUGAAGAUUUUGUUUGUUUGAACGCGCUACUCUCGGGAACUGCUGGUCAGAUUUGAAACAUUUUUUCAGUGUUAAAUAGCCCAAUAAUUGAGGAAGGCUAUAGGCUAUAUAAAAUCACGCCAAGACCAAUACAAACGGAAUAAUAGGAACAAUAAAGAAUGUUUCACAAUCGUU